AGCGCGGCGCCUGGCGGGAGGGCCGCAGGGAGUGCGCAUGCGGCCGAGUGCGGGACUGGGGCUCCUGGCUGUGGGUGUGGUACCGAGGCUUCAGCGGGUGCCGCCCGCCUAGAGGGAGUGGAGCGAGAGCCUACGACUAGAUUUGCAUCUUUACGUCCUGCGCGGAGGCUGCUACACACAUGCAGAAGUCAUGCUGGUGGCCUGGACAGUGAAGGGAGAGAAGUGGAUUUGGGAGACAUUUAGGAGGAACAGUAAGAGGACCUUGUGCAUGAAUAAUUUGUUUCCACACUACAGAGUGGCAGAAGAAUCCCAGACUUCUUAGAGAACCCAGUGACUUUUUGCACCUUAAAUCUGUGAAAUCCUCAUGUUUUCUUCUGCCGUAUCCAUAGUUCAAACAAAGAUGAGGCAAAGCUAGAUGCAUUCCUGAAGGAACCCAAGAAAUUCCUCUCUUUAUUUCUCUGGAAUGAAAUGAAUUCUCUAGACCACCAGUUCUAACCUUCAAAAACCAAACCUGUUUGUGAGAUCUCCUUCAAAUACUACUGUAGACCCCAGUGUUUAUUCAUUAAAUUUUUAAAAUAUUUGUUUUAUUUGGAAUCCAUGUAUUUGUAAUUUUAGUGUUUGUAUUAAUAUAAGGGAGAAAUGUUUAAAUCUGUCUAUGCCAUAUGUGCCUCUGGCUUAUUGCCCAAUUAAUUGUAGACUCAGGCUAAACUUUGGUUUCUGUCUUUAAUUUUUGUCAGAAGAAAUAUAACUGAUCUCAAAACA
ensembl:lncRNA RPL23AP7 ribosomal protein L23a pseudogene 7